rnacentral:tRNA from 1 species
GGCUAUAGCUCAGCUGGGAGAGCGCCUGCCUUGCACGCAGGAGGUCUGCGGUUCGAUCCCGCAUAGCUCCACCA